AAGCAUCUAAGCGGGAAACUAGCCUCAAGAUGAGAUCUCACUGGAACCUUGAGUUCCCUGAAGGGCCGUCGAAGACUACGACGUUGAUAGGUUGGGUGUGUAAGCGCUGUGAGGCGUUGAGCUAACCAAUACUAAUUGCCCGUGAGGCUUGACCAUAUAACACCCAAGCAAUU
rnacentral:rRNA from 1 species